CAACCCUUAAGCCCUGUUGCUUAGUGUUGGGAGCCUACGGGAUUUUCCCCGCAGCUCCUCAAAGUUAGUGGCGGGGUCGGUUCGCACUCUAGACGCAGUAGAUUUUAUUUUCAUCUCGCCUGUAGUGUGUGCCGGUCCUCUGCCGUAAAACACCCUAUAUACCAAA
rnacentral:misc_RNA from 1 species